UUAUUUCUUGGAUCCGCCACUGCUCGCUAUUGCAUAUGCA
rnacentral:sRNA from 1 species